rnacentral:rRNA from 1 species
UACGGAGGAUGCGAGCGUUAUCCGGAUUUAUUGGGUUUAAAGGGUGCGUAGGCGGAUUUUUAAGUCAGCGGUAAAAUGUCCGGGCUCAACCCGGGCCGGCCGUUGAAACUGGGGAUCUUGAGUGGGCGAGAAGUAUGCGGAAUGCGUGGUGUAGCGGUGAAAUGCGUAGAUAUCACGCAGAACUCCGAUUGCGAAGGCAGCAUACCGGCGCCCGACUGACGCUGAGGCACGAAAGCGUGGGGAUCGAACAGG